rnacentral:misc_RNA from 1 species
UCGAAGAGGCUACCCGGGCACGCGUGGGGGCGUUUGUGUUCACCAGUACCACGAGCACGUUUGGCCGGGCCCUGGUGCCGCCACCGGGAGCUCCGGCGGCCUGGAUUACCGAGGAUGUGGCCCCGGUGCCCAAAAACAUCUACGGCGUCACGAAGGUCGCGGCCGAGGCCUUGUGUGAACUGUUCCACCACAAGUUCGGGUUGCCGUGCCUGGUCCUGAGAACCUCGCGGUUCUUCCCCGAACAGGAUGACUCGAAGGCGACCCGCGACGCCUACAAGGAUGCCAACGUCAAGGUGAACGAAUACGCGUUCAGGCGGGCGGAUCUCGAGGACAUCGUGGGCGCGCACCUGUGCGCCGUCGAGCGAGCCGGGCGGCUGGGGUUUGGCCGCUACAUCGUCAGUGCCACCACGCCGUUCAUGCCGGACGACCUGGCUGAGCUGCGCACCAACGCGCCGGCCGUCCUGGCUCGCCGGGUGCCCCGCUAUCAGCAGGUAUAUGCCGCGCGAGGCUGGUCGAUGUUUCCCGGCAUCGACCGCGUGUACGACAACGCGCGCGCCCGGCGCGAUCUCGGCUGGCAGCCGAAGUACGACUUCGCCGCCGUGCUGGACCAGAUCGCCGCGGGAGGCCCCGCCGGCAGCCCGCUGGCGCAGCUCGUCGGGUCCAAGGGCUAUCACGCCGGGACAUUUGCCGGCGAACCCUAUCCCGUCGAAUGAGCUAGGCCCCUAUCGCCCGGCGGAGGCGAACGCGAACGCGUACAAGGUGUCGUUGGCGGCCACGACGACGUACUGAACACCAUCGAGCUGAUACGUGAUCGGCCCGUUGGUGAUCGACGCGUGCAGACCGGCGCGCCAGAGCGGGACGCCUCGCGCGGCGUCGAAGGCCA